rnacentral:rRNA from 1 species
AUGCACGCUGGCGGCGUGCCUCAUACAUGCAAGUCGAGCGAACGGACGAGAAGCUUGCUUCUCUGAUGUUAGCGGCGGACGGGUGAGUAACACGUGGAUAACCUACCUAUAAGACUGGGAUAACUUCGGGAAACCGGAGCUAAUACCGGAUAAUAUUUUGAACCGCAUGGUUCAAAAGUGAAAGACGGUCUUGCUGUCACUUAUAGAUGGAUCCGCGCUGCAUUAGCUAGUUGGUAAGGUAACGGCUUACCAAGGCAACGAUGCAUAGCCGACCUGAGAGGGUGAUCGGCCACACUGGAACUGAGACACGGUCCAGACUCCUACGGGAGGCAGCAGUAGGGAAUCUUCCGCAAUGGGCGAAAGCCUGACGGAGCAACGCCGCGUGAGUGAUGAAGGUCUUCGGAUCGUAAAACUCUGUUAUUAGGGAAGAACAUAUGUGUAAGUAACUGUGCACAUCUUGACGGUACCUAAUCAGAAAGCCACGGCUAACUACGUG